AUACCGUGGAACUGAAACAGCCAACUGUACAGAUCAGGAACAAGGAAGACACACCGCUACUAGCUAGAAUAAAUCUUUGAAGCAUGCGGUAUCAGCGGUAGGUAACAGGCUGAAAGGUUGAACUAGUUACGAACCUCUCGUUGCUUCCGAACGCAAGCUUGGUCUGGAACAGCAAAGCCGGUGACGCGAGCUGUCGCGAUGUUGUAAACCAUGGACAGCAGAAUAAACGAGUUUCCCGAGAGGACGUUUGAUUUGGUGCUACAGGUUGCAUGCCCAACAUCUGAAAAUGAAGAUCCUACCGUGCAGUGGAGCUUCCCCCAGGACUACACAGACCAGGUUGGAAACGCACACGCUAACACACACACACACACACACACACACACACACACACACACACACGCUAACACACACCAGGGCUUUCCGUUAGUCGGUAAUAGCCGGCUUUUGGCCACAAAAUAAUACAGUUAGAAUGGCCGAUAAAUAAAAUUGGCAACAAUUGUCCGAGAGAAGAAGAAAACAAUCCCGUUGCUAAGUAAUGUUUAUUAGUCGAUUCAUUGAUGAUGGUUUUUAUUUUAUUUAACCAGGUAGGCUAGUUGAGAACAAGUUCU